CCAGGGUGAGGUAGUAGGUUGUAUAGUUUGGUGGGUGGGACUCCACCCUUCAUAGGUGAUAACUAUACAGUCUAUUGCCUUCCCUGA
rfam:Oryzias latipes DNA, chromosome7, strain: Hd-rR.